UACAGAGGGGGCAAGCGUUGUUCGGAAUUACUGGGCGUAAAGGGCGCGUAGGCGGCCUGUUAAGUCGAACGUGAAAUCCCCGGGCUCAACCCGGGAACUGCGUCCGAUACUGGCAGGCUUGAAUCCGGGAGAGGGAUGCGGAAUUCCAGGUGUAGCGGUGAAAUGGCGUAGAUAUCUGCAGGAACACCGGAGGCGAAGGCGGCUAACUGGGUGGAGCAUUGACGCUGGAGGCGCGAAAGCGCGGGUAGCAAACAGG
rnacentral:rRNA from 1 species